rnacentral:rRNA from 1 species
GACGAACGCUGGCGGCGUGCUUAACACAUGCAAGUCGAACGGAAAGGCCCUGCUUUUGUGGGGUGCUCGAGUGGCGAACGGGUGAGUAACACGUGAGUAACCUGCCCUUGACUUUGGGAUAACUUCAGGAAACUGGGGCUAAUACCGGAUAGGAGCUCCUGCUGCAUGGUGGGGGUUGGAAAGUUUCGGCGGUUGGGGAUGGACUCGCGGCUUAUCAGCUUGUUGGUGGGGUAGUGGCUUACCAAGGCUUUGACGGGUAGCCGGCCUGAGAGAGUGACCGGCCACAUGGGGACUGAGAUACGGCCCAGACGCCUACGGGAGGCAGCAGUGGGAAAUAUUGCACAAUGGGCGGAAGCCUGAUGCAGCAACGCCGCGUGCGGGAUGACGGCCUUCGGGUUGUAAACCGCUUUCGCGUGUGACGAAGCGUGAGUGACGGUAAUGGGUAAAGAAGCACCGGCUAACUACGUG